CCUACGGGAGGCAGCAGUGGGGAAUAUUGCACAAUGGGGGGAACCCUGAUGCAGCGACGCCGCGUGGGUGAAGGAGUAUUUCGGUAUGUAAAGCCCUAUCAGCAGGGAAGAACAAUGACGGUACCUGACUAAGAAGCACCGGCUAAAUACGUGCCAGCAGCCGCGGUAAUACGUAUGGUUCAAGCGUUAUCCGGAUUUACGGGGUGUAAAGGGAGCGCAGGCGGCUCGUUAAGCCUGGUGUGAAAGUCCGCGGCCCAACCGCGGGACUGCAUUGGGAACUGGCGCGCUGGAGUGCCGGAGGGGUAGGCGGAAUUCCUAGUGUAGCGGUGAAAUGCGUAGAUAUUAGGAGGAACACCAGUGGCGAGGCGGCCUACUGGACGGUGACUGACGCUGAGGCUCGAAAGCGUGGGGAGCAAACAGGAUUAGAUACCCCUGUAGUC
rnacentral:rRNA from 1 species